CCUACGGGAGGCAGCAGUAGGGAAUCUUGCGCAAUGGGCGAAAGCCUGACGCAGCCAUGCCGCGUGAAUGAUGAAGGUCUUAGGAUUGUAAAAUUCUUUCACCGGGGAAGAUAAUGACGGUACCCGGAGAAGAAGCCCCGGCUAACUUCGUGCCAGCAGCCGCGGUAAUACGAAGGGGGCUAGCGCUGCUCGGAAUUACUGGGCGUAAAGGGCGCGUAGGCGGACAUUUAAGUCAGAGGUGAAAGCCCAGGGCUCAACCUUGGAAUUGCCUUUGAUACUGGAUGUCUUGAGUUCGGGAGAGGUGAGUGGAAUGCCGAGUGUAGAGGUGAAAUUCGUAGAUAUUCGGCGGAACACCAGUGGCGAAGGCGACUCACUGGCCCGAUACUGGCGCUGAGGCGCGAAAGCGUGGGGAGCGAACAGGAUUAGAUACCCGGGUAGUCC
rnacentral:rRNA from 1 species